GACGAACGCUGGCGGCGUGCCUAAUACAUGCAAGUCGAACGCAGUGGGGACGGGUGAGUAACACGUGGGUAACCUCCCAUCAGAGGGGAUAACAAUUGGAAACAAGUGCUAAACCGCUACUGAUGGAUGGACCCGCGUGGCAUUAGCUAGUUGGUGGGGUAACGGCUCACCAAGCCCACGAUGCAUAGCCGACCUGAGAGGAUGAUCGGCCACACUGGAACUGAGACACGGCCCAGACUCCUACGGGAGGCAGCAGUAGGGAAUCUUCGGCAAUGGACGAAAGUCUGACCGAGCAACGCCGCGUGAGUGAAGAAGGUUUUCGGAUCGUAAAACUCUGUUGAUAGAGAAGCGGUAUCUAAACAGAAAGCCCCGGCUAACUCCGUGCCAGCAGCCGCGGUAAUUC
rnacentral:rRNA from 1 species